UAUGAGAAUAUCCGUUAAUCACCUGCUUAUACGACGCUGUCAGUCAAUAAAUCAAUCAAAAAUCACCUUCAGAUUAGACCAUUGCAGUUUUCUCGCAAUCUUGAAAAAGGUUUGAUCAGGCCUUGUGCUACUUCCUGUAAUGCAUCGUGUUUAAUCUCUCCUUUAACCUAUUACGGACGGGACUAUCAUCUGUUAUAAAAAACCACAUCGGAAACAAACUACUCGUUAUGUCCAAUGCGGUUUUAUCUAGCCAAAAAACAUGUUCAAAAAAAUGAAGUAAAAGAUUUGAAAUCGAUAUCUUGAUCAAAUGAAGUAAUAGAUCCAAUAGUAAAACUGAUGAUAUGUCUGCCGUCUUUGAAAGGUGUUUAAACAGAAACAUUUGAGUUAAUUAGAAAUCUUAAGUUUUAGCUUAGUAUUAUGCGUUGAUGAAUAGAGAUCUAUGGCAUUUUAUAAUCGGUUGGUGAGAGGUGUGUGCGUGUACAUAUAGGAAAAUGAUGAUAAAAGCCGGUGAUCAUGAUGAAUUGAUGCAACCAAUAAAAUGAGCCGAUCGUUCGUUCAACAAAAUAUAUGAUAAAUUUGAAUAAGAAUCGUAUGAUGGACAGAAUGUCCUGUUGUAAUAUUGGAUGAAAGUGGAAGUAUUGUUGAAAGAGGUAAUCGAUUUUUUGUUAAA